UGGGCUCAAGCCCAAUCGUUUACUAUUACGAGAAAGGGCUUAGGCCCACACUAAAAUGGACUGCUACUGUAACGGGCUCAGGCCCAAACUGCCUUUAUCUACUAUUUAAUUGACUGUUUGCUUAUUAGGGGAUUACACACUGAGUUUUCGUAAACUCACCCCUCUGUUUAACUGUACAGGUAAUCCUCAGUUGUAGGCGGGUCAAUGUUGCGAGGGACUUUGAGGUGGCCACACAACUGCAGCUAUUCU
rnacentral:lncRNA from 1 species